rnacentral:rRNA from 1 species
CCGCUGGCGGCAGGCCUAACACAUGCAAGUCGAGCGGAAACGAGUUAUCAGAACCUUCGGGGGACGAUAACGGCGUCGAGCGGCGGACGGGUGAGUAAUGCCUAGGAAAUUGCCCUGAUGUGGGGGAUAACCAUUGGAAACGAUGGCUAAUACCGCAUGAUGCCUACGGGCCAAAGAGGGGGACCUUCGGGCCUCUCGCGUCAGGAUAUGCCUAGGUGGGAUUAGCUAGUUGGUGAGGUAAGGGCUCACCAAGGCGACGAUCCCUAGCUGGUCUGAGAGGAUGAUCAGCCACACUGGAACUGAGACACGGUCCAGACUCCUACGGGAGGCAGCAGUGGGGAAUAUUGCACAAUGGGCGCAAGCCUGAUGCAGCCAUGCCGCGUGUAUGAAGAAGGCCUUCGGGUUGUAAAGUACUUUCAGUCGUGAGGAAGGUAGUGUAGUUAAUAGCUGCAUUAUUUGACGUUAGCGACAGAAGAAGCACCGGCUAACUCCGUGCCAGCAGCCGCGGUAAUACGGAGGGUGCGAGCGUUAAUCGGAAUUACUGGGCGUAAAGCGCAUGCAGGUGGUUUGUUAAGUCAGAUGUGAAAGCCCGGGGCUCAACCUCGGAAUAGCAUUUGAAACUGGCAGACUAGAGUACUGUAGAGGGGGGUAGAAUUUCAGGUGUAGCGGUGAAAUGCGUAGAGAUCUGAAGGAAUACCGGUGGCGAAGGCGGCCCCCUGGACAGAUACUGACACUCAGAUGCGAAAGCGUGGGGAGCAAACAGGAUUAGAUACCCUGGUAGUCCACGCCGUAAACGAUGUCUACUUGGAGGUUGUGGCCUUGAGCCGUGGCUUUCGGAGCUAACGCGUUAAGUAGACCGCCUGGGGAGUACGGUCGCAAGAUUAAAACUCAAAUGAAUUGACGGGGGCCCGCACAAGCGGUGGAGCAUGUGGUUUAAUUCGAUGCAACGCGAAGAACCUUACCUACUCUUGACAUCCAGAGAACUUUCCAGAGAUGGAUUGGUGCCUUCGGGAACUCUGAGACAGGUGCUGCAUGGCUGUCGUCAGCUCGUGUUGUGAAAUGUUGGGUUAAGUCCCGCAACGAGCGCAACCCUUAUCCUUGUUUGCCAGCGAGUAAUGUCGGGAACUCCAGGGAGACUGCCGGUGAUAAACCGGAGGAAGGUGGGGACGACGUCAAGUCAUCAUGGCCCUUACGAGUAGGGCUACACACGUGCUACAAUGGCGCAUACAGAGGGCAGCCAACUUGCGAAAGUGAGCGAAUCCCAAAAAGUGCGUCGUAGUCCGGAUUGGAGUCUGCAACUCGACUCCAUGAAGUCGGAAUCGCUAGUAAUCGUGGAUCAGAAUGCCACGGUGAAUACGUUCCCGGGCCUUGUACACACCGCCCGUCACACCAUGGGAGUGGGCUGCAAAAGAAGUAGGUAGUUUAACCUUCGGGGGGACGCUUACCACUUUGUGGUUCAU